rnacentral:rRNA from 1 species
AAGGGGGCUUCCGCAAGGACACUCGUAGAGGUGCUGCAUGGCUGUCGUCAGCUCGUGUCGUGAGAUGUUGGGUUAAGUCCCGCAACGAGCGCAACCCUUGUUUGCUGUUGCCAUCAGGUUAUGCUGGGCACUCUGCAAAGACUGCCGGUGAUAAACCGGAGGAAGGUGGGGAUGACGUCAAGUCAGCAUGGCCUUUAUGUCUGGGGCUACACACGUGCUACAAUGGCCGAUACAAGCCGUCGCAAAGCCGCAAGGUGGAGCUAAUCGGAGAAAGUCGGUCUCAGUUCGGAUAGCAGGCUGCAACUCGCCUGCUUGAAGUUGGAAUCGCUAGUAAUCGCGGAUCAGCACGCCGCGGUGAAUACGUUCCCGGGCCUUGUACACACCGCCCGUCACAUCACGAAAGCCGGUUGUACUAGAAGUCGCCACACCAACCCGCAAGGGAGGGAGGCGCCUAAGGUAUGACUAGUGAUUGGGGUGAAGUCGUAACAAGGUAACCGU